rnacentral:rRNA from 1 species
AACAGGAUUCCCCUAGUAACUGCGAGUGAAGCGGGAAAAGCUCAAAUUUAAAAUCUGGCGGUCUUUGGCCGUCCGAGUUGUAAUCUAGAGAAGUAAUGCCCGUGCUGGACCGUGUAUAAGUCUCCUGGGAUGGGGCGUCAUAGAGGGUGAGAAUCCCGUCUUUGACACGGACUACCAGUGCAUUGUGGUAUGCUCUCAAAGAGUCGAGUUGUUUGGGAAUGCAGCUCAAAAUGGGUGGUAAAUUCCAUCUAAAGCUAAAUAUUGGCGAGAGACCGAUAGCGAACAAGUACCGUGAGGGAAAGAUGAAAAGAACUUUGGAAAGAGAGUUAAACAGUACGUGAAAUUGCUGAAAGGGAAACGCUUGAAGUCAGUCGCGUUGGCCAGGGAUCAGCCUUGCUUUUGCAUGGUGUACUUUCUGGUUGACGGGUCAGCAUCAAUUUUGACCACUGGAAAAGGGCCUGGGGAAUGUGGCAGCUUAGGCUGUGUUAUAGCCCCUGGUCGCAUACAGUGGUUGGGAUUGAGGAACUCAGCACGCCGCAAGGCCGGGUUUCGACCACGUUCGUGCUUAGGAUGCUGGCAUAAUGGCUUUAAGCGACCCGUCUUGAAACACGGACCAAGGAGUCUAACAUGCCUGCGAGUAUUUGGGUGGAAAACCCGAGUGCGCAAUGAAAGUGAAAGUUGAGAUCCCUGUCGUGGGGAGCAUCGACGCCCGGACCAGAACUUUUGGGACGGAUCCGCGGUGGAGCAUGUAUGUUGGGACCCGAAAGAUGGUGAACUAUGCCUGAAUAGGGUGAAGCCAGAGGAAACUCUGGUGGAGGCUCGUAGCGAUUCUGACGUGCAAAUCGAUCGUCAAAUUUGGGUAUAGGGGCGAAAGACUAAUCGAACCAUCUAGUAGCUGGGUUCCUGCCG